CUGUUAUUCGCAAGCUUCGCUAGGCGAGCUGUAUAGCGAAGGGUUCGCUAGGCGAAGGAAUUGCUCGCCUAGCGAGCAAGCUAGUUUGGGCCUUUUCUGGAUUGGGCCUAUUGUGAGCUGGGCCUUGUUCCUUUAAGGUCAAUGCCUUGAAAAAUAAGUUGGAGUGCCUAAGAAAUGCCUUGUAAUAUUAAUGGGCAAAUUUUGGGAUAUGACACUCAGCUAAAGUAACGGAAGACAACAAUAAUACUAACAUAACUAAUAUUAAGGGAUUAAAUUGUAACAUAUUUUUAUGAAGGGAUUAAAGUGGAAUUUAAAAUUAACUUAAGAGACUUAAUGGCUAAUUAUACCUACAAUUUUAUUAAAUAGAAUCCAAAGAAUAUGAAACUUAUAUUACAAAAUCACUCCACCUUUUUGUCGAUUAAUUUUCAACCAUUUUUUUUACACUAAACCACUACCUAUUUCUUUUAUAUACAUUCCAUAAAGAUAGAAUUGAUAAGCCCAAUUAUAAACCGUGGCAAAUCCUUAGAUUGAAAACAAUGACAAGUAGUGGAAAACAAUGCUUCCCUAGUUACUGAGAAAUUAAUUAUAUUAUGCAUCCUUAGUUACCCAGAUUUUCUCAUUACUAUAACAUUUUUCUCAACUAUUAGUAAUAGUUAGAAAUGAGAUUUUGGAAAAAAUAACUAUAAAUCAAAAAAAUAUGAUCAUCUUUCUGCGAUAGAAUGAAAUGAUAAUCAAAGCUCUUCACGAAACUUGGGUUAUGGAUUUGAAGAGGUCGAUAGUUCACUACGAUUGCAAUAUUAAUGUCAAUUGAGUGUGAACAGAGGCCAACGGGCAAAGAGAUUGAUCGAACACAUAUAAGACGAGUUCAAUUCCAUUAGCAAAACUCCGUCUUCUUUUGAUAGGUGAAAUCUGAUUUGUUAUAGGAAAAUUUUAUCUCAUAUUUCAACAAUUAUUCUCCUACCCCUACAAUACAUAUAAUUGAACUAAAACACCCUUCAAAUAUAAAACAAAAUGAGUUAAUGCAACGCAAGAAAAUCAUUGUCUUAUAUGAUCAAUGGUUGUCUAAAGUCUUUUAGCAACACUUUUAAAACAUUUGCCUAAAGUAUUUGAAAUUACCCUACUAACAAUUUAAUUAAAUUGUCCAUUUUAAAAAUUAUAGGAACACUUUAUUUAAGUUAUUUGAUAUAAUAAAUUUUUUUUUAACACUUUAUUUAAAUUAUCCGGUAUAAUAAUUAUUUUUCUAUUAUCGAACUCUUUUGUAAAUAAUACGGUAUAUUAGAAAUUUUUCUAUCGGAAUUCUUUUAUCAAGUAUUCCAGCCUAUUAAGAUUUUAAAAAUUAAUUAUUGAAACUUUUUUGUUAAGUAUUCUGAUAAACUAACAUAGGGAUUAAAAAAUAUUAAUUUCAAAAAUUAUAAUUAAUAAAUAAAAAGAAAAGAAUUGAAAUAUUUUAAUAAAUAUUAUGGUAUAACGAAAAUAAUAGUAGGAGUAUAAAGCUUUUCAAGCUCAAUAGCAUGUGAAAGAGAUAUUUUACCAAAUUCUUAUCCAUCAUAAUGUUUUAAGACCAUAAGAUAGAUUAAAACCAAAUAGUAAAUUGAAUGAUAGAAAUUAACUAAUUUGAAGACUCACAAUUAUUUCACCAAUAUUCUAAUGUAGCAUAAAAAAAUCUACAAAUACAUAUAAAAAGUGAUCUACAAAAUGUUUUUUCAUAAUAUUGUUGGAUACUAAAAUACAUUUUAUCUUUAUAAGAAUCCUUAUUUUUAAAGAAUUUGAUAAAAUAAUAAAAAUAUCUCAUUUAAUUUUGUUAAAAAUCCAAAUAAUAAUUAAUUUUAGUAUAAAACACUUGGACGGCAGAAUGGCUUGUCAUGGUAGACAAAAAAGUUCAUAUAAGAAAAAAAAUCAAUUUUUAAAUAAUGGUCCACUUAAAAAUUUAAAUAUCUUCAUAUAUUAUUUUAAUUCAUUUUUUUUUAAGAUAUUUCACUCUAAACUACUGUAUAAAAAAAUCACUCAAUUAAAAUCUAGUCACUAAAAAAACUCAACAUAAAUCUAAAAUAAAUUUAAAAUAUUUAUGAAAUGAGAGAUAUACACAAAUGUGUAAGUAGGUACACAAUAUGUGUUGUAAAUUUCUUUGUGGGAGAUUAUUUGCACAAAAACAACAACUGUAUCCAAGAAUGUAAGAUGAAUUUCUAUAACCUAGCAAAUUAUGUUCACAAUACAUGGAAUAUGGCCUUCAAAUUUCUUUCAACCUCAUCCGCCCAAUUAGUUAAAGUAAUUUGAAGGUCAAAUCCAUGGCCUGUAAACAUACUUUCAAAAGAUUGUUAGAAUAUACAUCAUGCAUUCGUAUAAUUAAUUAUAUAAGUUAUCAUCAAUGAUUAAAAAGAAAAUAAUUUGUGUAAAAGAGAUGCAAAUAGAGAUAGGGAAAAGUUUGUUUGCUCAUCAGAAAAACAAAGAAACAAUCUCAUUCAAGAUUUAUAAAAUUUGAAAUGAGAAGGUAGUGGAUUGAGAGAAAAAAAUAUAUGGGAGCUUAUAUGUGUAUAUGUUAAGAGAGAUGGAAAAGAAUUUAUAGACGAAGAGUAGUUAAAAUGAGGUUUUAUAAUGUGAAGGGAGUUUGAAGGUUAGUUU
rnacentral:lncRNA from 1 species